rnacentral:lncRNA from 1 species
GUCUUCAAAGAGUUCGCCCACACAUCUUUGGGUUAUGGGCAUGUUGGUGGUGGAGUUGAGUUUGACCGACGUCGGGAUUGUUGGUUUUUUUGCACGAUUGUCCGUUAAUCAAUCAUGUGUGUAUGGUUUUUCGGCCUGUUUUUUCAUAUAAAUUGGGUCACUAUGUUUUGUUUUUUCUCUCUUAAUGAAUUUGGCAGCGCACCUGCCUUGCACCUAAAAAAUGUUAAUAGGUCUAAAACAAACUCAAUAUUACUCAACAGUCCAAUUUUUUAUCAUACUGCUAUACUUUAAAUAAGAUUAUACGCUACGAUCUCAGGUGUCCCUGACCACUCAACCUCAUUGCCGACUUAACCAAAAAAAAGGCAAAUUGAAACAGUCACCAUGCAUUUUGGCCUCCAUUCGUCAUGUUCCGAUCCAUCAAUAGUUCAACACCAAAUCCCCAUUUGGGCAUAGAAUCCACCACCGUUAGCUUCUAAGUGAGUGAUAGUUGCAAAAAUAAGUUGAUAACAAAGUUUUCUUUACCUCAUUUUCUGGCACAUCUGGCUGGAAAGAAAUGCUUGCAUCUUCAGGGGCAAACAGGCAGAUGCUAGGCACAUCAUCAAAGCAUGCCAUAGCGACAUGGAGCAAUGGCGGCUCGCCGGUGCAACAUGCAUCCAGCAGCCCUUUGGGGACGUGACGUGAGAUAUCUCCCUGUGCGUGGUUAGUUUAGUUUUCCAGAUGGUCGGAUCUUUGGGGCCCGAAGUAAGAUGUAUUGUCUCUCCAUUCCACGAUCGCUUGAUCAAUUUUUGUAACCUCUCUCUCUGCUAAAUGAAAUGAAAACCAGCUAUGCUGGCCACUUCAAAAAAAGAAAAUUCCAUGUGAGAAAAGACACUUAGGAAAGUUCGCCUAAGUUGACGGACCUUUCAGUUAUUAUUCAAUCCGAAUGUUCUGUCCUGGUUGCUGCAUUAACUUUUUUUUGUUUUGCGGGGUGGUUGCUGCAUUAACUGACGAGUCAUUGAACAAAUCUGCUCAUGGACAUUUGAUUCUGGAAAUUAAGAGGAUCCUGGAUAGGUUUAUUCCGCAGAAAAUAGAUCGUCAUCAAAAUAGUGUUGCUCAGUGUCUUUUGAUCGUUCUGAAGGUAGCACCGCCUGUUGGCUGGACCGUGUUCCAGACAAUGUCUCUACUUUUGUACUAACGGACUGUAACACUAUUUUAAAGGUAUAAAGCAGAUAUUUACCCGCAAAAAAAGAGGUAAGUAGGUGAUCAUGGUGAAUGAGACACGAUUUCAUGAUUUAGCCAGCCCCGCAAAGCAAAAUAGCGUGCAGAAAACAUACAGGCAACACACAAGUUUGCACAUGAGCAGCAAAAGAAAGCAUUGUUUGUGGUUAUUUUUCCCCAUCUGAUACUUCAGUUCCAUUGUAAUAGAGGUGUCCCGCGCCGCCACACUAUUACUGACGCUAUAUAUAUUGACAUAUAUAUGGUGCUUCUUUUGGUGUACGGCUGCACAUGAAGUUGCUAUCGAAACAUAUGCAGAUGAGCAAAUGCGAGCGCCACACAUCUGAACAUCGGUGCAUGGUGUUACGGUGAGUGAGACCAGAACCAAUCCAGUGAAUGUUGAACGCUGGACUCUGGAAAGGUGGCAUCCGGGGUAUCAGAAACCAGCGUGUUGGCAUUUUCCUGAUGCCGCUCAUUUCGAGGCAGUGGGCGCCUGCCUGGCUUUCUCAUCCACACAAAUCAAAACGUGGAGAGUUGUGAGAUGAAUAGCUUAAUUUUGUUGCGAACAAGUUAACCCAACCAAACUUAAGAAUGCAAGACACGGGAAAGAAGGAGCAAGGGCGUAGUGAAAAAAGUCACCAACUUAUAAGUCGAAAAGUGAAAAAAGUGACUUAUUUUGCCAAAUAGACCUGACUUAUAAGUCACCCCAACUUAUAAGUCAUAAGUUGCUCCACCCCAACUUAAAACUUAUAAGUCACCCCCUUUUGCGUGGGUCCCACCACCUGCAUGAUGUUGAUUGAUGUGAAAAGGUGUGCCAGGUGACUUAUAAGUCAGGUGAUAACCAAACAGGCGUGAUUUAUAAGUCACUAGUUUUAAGUCACCUGACUUAUAAGGCGGGUGACUUAUUGAAACCAAACAGGCCCUAAGACAAUGACUUUUGGGCCGAGAGAGAGAUCAAUAUGUAGAGAUGCGUUUGAGUUGGUAGGUAAAAAGACGGGCAAUUGGCAGCCCAUUUUAAUGCAGGAAAGUGGAAACACCAGGUGUCAGACUCGUGUACACUAGAGUAUUGAAGUGGUACUAAGGAAAAUCACAGAUAGUUAUAAAUUCUGAUGUUCAACUUCAACUUACUGGCAGAGACGGCAUCGUUGCUAGCUCAGACUGAAUGUAUUUUCUAUCAAUUGUUAUCUAACCAUAUUUCAGCGAGGUCCGCUUCGGUACACCUCCUUAUACCUAAAUUAAGGGCUGACUUCAUCUAGGAGGGAAUGAUGGUUAAUUAAACUAACCUGUCCAUUAAUUGGUGCACCCAGUUUAUACUUUUUUUCACGGGAUACACCCAGUUUAUACACAAUAGUUCCAGACUAAAGUUUUCAUCUAUCCAAAGUGUACGUAUUCACGUACUCGUUUUUCAAGUACGUCGGGAUUUAGUUCGUGGAUCUUUGGAUCAGUAUCAAUUUGUAGCGAUUAUUUACAAGCAAAGGAAAAGCGAUUCUCCAUAGAAACUGAUGGUGCCCGAGAGAAGCGCCCCAUGAUGCGGACGUCACCGGUGAGCACAAGCAUGAGUGACAUGGAUAUCAGAAAAGAAGCGUUUCUACUCCCUCGUGAGGGAGCCGCGUUGGGUUUAUAUUGAUUGAGACAGAAACCUUGUCGUGGUUUACAAGAAUCCAACGAUCGCUCGGAUAGGUUGGUUACAGGAGUACGAGAUUGAUACGAGAGGGAGAGAGAGAUAGAGAUAGAGUUGAGAUUACAAAGUUAAACAACUAUCUAUCUAACACCCUCCCUUUAUCUCAACUAUCCUACAUUGAGAUUUCUCUUAAACUCCUCAAAUGGCUUGACUGAUAAGGCUCCAUCUGCUACUUGAUCCUUGGAUGGAAUAAACCGGAUGUCCAACUUCUUCUCUUCAACUCUUUCCCGUACAAAAUGAAAAUCAAUUUCAAUAUAUAUGUUUGGUUCUACCAUGGAAAACAGGAUUAGGAGAGAGAUAUGUGGCUCCCAAAUUAUCACACCAUAAACAUGAGACACGAUGUUGCUUGAUUCCCAAUUCAUUAAGCAGUGAUUCCAACCAAAUAAUUUCAGCAGUGGCAUUUGCUAGUGAUUUGUACUCAGCUUCAGUACUUGACCUUGAUACUGUGGCCUGCUUUCUGGCACUCCAAGAAAUAAGAUUAGAGCCAAAGAACACUGCAAAUCCACCAGUUGACUUUCUGUCAUCAGAACAUCCUGCCCAGUCGGCAUCAGAGAAAGCACUGACAAGAGUAGAGUUAGAUCGUCUGAACUGAAGACCUAGACUCACAGUGUGUUUAAUAUAUCGUAUAAUUCUCUUAACGGCUGUCCAAUGUACAGUAGUGGGUGCAUGCAGAUACUGGCAAACCUUGUUAACAGCAAAGGAUAUAUUUGGUCUUGUCAGUGUCAAGUACUGCAAGGCUCCCACAACACUCCUAUAUUUUGUGCUCUCUUCCUCCUUAAGCGGCUCUCCUUCAAAGGCUGACAGUUUUUCUGAAGAAGACAAUGGUGUAGGUGAAGGCUUACAGUCCUUCAUCACCAUAUGAGUCAGAAGUUCAGUAGCAUAUUUCUCUUGAUUCAGUACAAUGCCAUCUUGAAUCUUCUUGACUUCAAUACCUAGAAAGAAGUGUAGAUCACCGAGAUCUUUCAAAGCAAACUCUGAACUUAGAUCAUGCAGAAGAGCAUUAGUAGCACUUUGUGAAGAGCUCGCAACUAUAAUGUCGUCAACAUAUAUGAGCACAAAUAUAGCUGUGUUGGCCUUGUUAUAAAUAAACAGUGAUGUGUCAGCUUUAGAUGCAACAAAACCAAGGUACCUUAACUGAGAGCUCAACCUUGAAUACCAUGCUCUUGGUGCUUGUUUCAAGCCAUACAACGCCUUGUCCAUUUUACACACAUAAUGUGGUGUUUUCUUAUUUUCAUACCCAGGUGGUUGUCUCAUGUAAACCUCCUCUUCCAAAACACCAUGUAAAAACGCGUUUUGAACAUCUAGCUGUCUCAAACUCCAUCCCUUGGACACAGCAAUAGCUAACACAAGGCUAAUGGUUGUAGCUUUAACAACAGGACUAAAAGUAUCUUCAUAAUCUAGGCCAUAACGUUGUUUAAAACCUUUUGCAACUAGACGUGCUUUAUAUCUGUCAAUCGAACCAUCUGCCUUUUUCUUGAUUCGGUAGACCCAUUUACAGUCAAUAAUGUUUUUACCUCUUUCCUCAGGUACAAGAUGUCAAGUCUUGUUCCUCAUAAGUGCCGAGUACUCUUCAUCCAUUGCAUUUUUCCAUCUUGAAUCUCCUAAUGCAUCCUCCAGUUUUGCUGGUUCUCCUGUAAUACACAACAUGCCAUAUGGUAUAGUGCCGUCAGCCCAAACCUUUGGAUUUCUUAUACCUUUUUGUAACCGAGUCGUAACACGCGAAACCGUUGUUGGUGGAGGUUGAGUUUGACGCGCUCGUAUAGACCGCGACACAGAACGUGGCACAGAAGACUCAGCCGCAAUGGAUCGUGAAGAGACAGCAGAAUCACUUUGCACAAAAGAUCCCGAAGUGGACCCUGUGGCCUGCAGUGUGGGCGAUCCAUCAGACUCAGCGACCGCAGAAGAUCCGGCACUGUUGGUCGGCACAUGCGUAUGGGAAGGAAAUCCCGAGGCGGACACGAAAUCUCCCACCGCCGUCGAUGGCGCGGGCCUGUGCGUGGGACGCGAUGCGGGACGCGGCGUCCGGUCCGCAUGCAGUGACGCGUCGCCCGGUAGUUGGCGCUGUGGGCUCCUGCUCGGGUCGCGAUCCGGUGCGUAUCUGCGCACUUGAUUCAAGGCAGCCUGACACACAGGAGUUCCAGGUGACAUAGGAUCUGCAUCGUGCUCUGCGCCUGCUUCGUCUUCUUCUGGUAUAUGCAAUAUCAGAUCAUUGGCUGCAAAAUUGUGAUCAUUUUCUGCACCGAUUUCUGCACCGAUUUCUGCUGCAUGAUCCUGCACAGGAGAAGACACAAUACUGCCAGUAGGAUCAUCAGUUGGAUUAGUACAAUUAUCGCCCCCAUGAUCAAAGUUUUCCAAAUGUGGUGGAAGGAGAAGAAUUUCUCUCUUGAGAAGUGCUCCGGCAUUAGGGUGAAGAGAUUCAAAAGGAUAUACUGAUUCAUCAAAUACUACAUCACGAGAAAUAUAGACCCUGCCAGUGGACACGUUAUGCAGUUAACCCCUUUGUGAAUAGGACUAUAUCCAAGGAAUACACAUUUCUUUGAUCGGAAUGCAAGCUUACGUGUAUUAUAUGGACGAAGGUUGGGCCAGCAAGCACAACCAAAUACACGAAGUGAGUUAUAGUCAGGAGUAGUACCAAAAAGACGUGUGAUGGGAGUCUCAAACUUGAGGACUUUACUGGGAAGCAAAUUAAUGAGAUAGGAAGCAGUCAGGAAUGCUUCAUCCCAGAACUUUAGUGUCAUGGAUGCAUUUGCGAGUAGAGCUAGCCCUACUUCAACAACAUGGCGAUGUUUUCUUUCAGCAGAACCGUUCUGUUGAUGUGCAUGAGGACAUGAUACAUGAUGUGAGAUGCCAAGUUCUUGAAAGAAAAGUUUAAGUUUCUUGUAUUCAUCUGCCCAGUCUGUUUGCAUAGCAAUGAUCUUAGUGUUCAGUUUUCGUUCAACAAGAUUUUGAAAAUUCUUGAAAACUUGAAACACUUCAGAUCAUUUCUUAAGAAGAUAGAUUCAAGUAAAUUUACUAUAAUCAUCAAUGAAUCUUACAUAGUAUGAGUGUCUACCAACAGAGGUAGGAGAUGGCCCCCAAACAUCCGAAAAUACAAGUUGCAAGGGUGCAGUGGAAAUACUGAUAGAAAUAGGAUAUGGCAACUGAUGACUUUUAGCUUGUUGACAUGGAUCACAAAUAGACUCAAUGCUAGACUCAUGAGAGUGGGGAAGUUUAUUCUUGCUAAGAACUAAUCUAACAAUAACUGAUGAAGGAUGACCUAAUCUACUAUGCCACUUUGCUGAAGAAGGCUUGACAGCAACAAAAGCCAGUUUUUUUGAUGAUGAUGAUGCAGAUAUGAGAGGAUAGAGACCUCCCACGCACUUGCCCCUAAGAAGCACUCUCCUCGUCUCCAAGUCCUUUACCACAAAGAAAUAAGGAUAAAACUCAAUAAGAACACGAUUAUCACGAGUAAAUCUAUGAACCGAAAGAAGAUUCUUUGAUGUUGUGGGCACAUAUAGAACUUUUUUAAGAUGCAAACCUUUCAUGCAGGUUUUGACAAUUGAACUACCAACAUGAGUUAUUUCCAUACCGGAGCCACUUGCAGUGUGCACUUGGUCAUGUCCACGAUAUUUGUCUCUGAUCGUCAGCUUGUCAAGUUCUCCUGUGAUAUGAUUUGUAGCACCGGUAUCCGCAUAACAGUUUGUGCCGACGCCGUAGGAAUCGGUGAUGGCAUUGGCCUCCUUCUCCUCGUACUCAUCUUCCUCAUAGCGAUCCCAACACUCACGGGCACCUCCGCGGUGAUGCUUGAGGCAGAUUUGGCACUCGAGAUAGUCCCGGUGCUGCGGACGUUGUUGUUGUUGUUGUUGUUGUUGGGGACGACCACCUCUCCUGUUGCCGCCGCUCGGAGAUGAGGACGUGUACCUUCCUCGACCGCAACCUCUGUUGCCACGCCCGUGACCUCUGCCACGGGACUGGACGCGCCCCGUGUAUGCCAAGUUUGCAGAGGUGUUGAAGCCAGUGCCGGAGCUGUCGCCUAGCAUCUCCAUCCGCUGAUCAAAGGCAUCGAUCUGGGCGAAGAGUUCGUCGACGGUGAUGGAUGUUUUGACGGCGCCAAUGGCCGCCACGACCGGAUCAUAAUCUCGAUCAAGGCCAGCAAGAACAUAGUCCACCAUCUCUGGAUCAGAGACAGGCCGGCCUGCUGCAGCAAGUUCAUCCCCCAGACUUUUCAUCCGGGCGAUGUAUGAGGUGCUCGACAUGGAGCCCUUCUCGGUGUUGGUGAUAGCAAUUCUCAAAUUCGUGAUUCGGGAUUGGGACUGCGAAGCAAACAUGGUGAUAAUGGCAGUCCAUAGAUCAAAAGUGUUUUCUUUACUCAAAACUUGGGCGAGAAUCUCUUUUGAUAGAGAAUUCAGAAGAUGGCUAAGGACCUGCUGGUCCCUGGACAACCAUGGCGCAUACAAGGGGUUGGGCACCAUAGCCGUCGUUUUGUCCGUCUGCUGCUGCUCCACCAUCUUCGGGGGCGCUGCAUCGGAUCCGUCCACGAGGCCUGUGACCUGCGCUCCUCGCAGGCCUGGCAUCACCUGCGCCUUCCAGAGGAGGAAGUUCCCCUUGGUAAGCUUUUCAGCAGGUGGGGCUCCGAGGUUGAGGGAGAGAGGAGCCGAGGACGACAUAGCGAUCUUGUUUCUGGCGAUUUGUUUCUGGCGAUCUGUUUCUGGCGAUCGAUGGAGUUCUAGCUAUCGAUGGGGAAGAGGAUGGCUCUGUAUACCAUAUCAGAAAAGAAGCGUUCCUACUCCCUCGUGAGGGAGCCGCGUUGGGUUUAUAUUGAUUGAGACAGAAACCCUGUCAUGGUUUACAAGAAUCCAAUGAUCGCUAGGAUACGUUGGUUACAGGAGUACGAGAUUGAUACGAGUGUUGGGGAACGUAGCAGAAAUUCAAAAAUUUUCCUACGAAUCACCAAGAUCUAUCUAUGGAGAGACCAGCAACGAGUAGAAAGGAGAGGAGAGUUUGCAUCUACAUACCCUUGUAGAUCAAUAAGCGGAAGCGUUCAAGUGAACGGGGUUGAUGGAGUCGUACUCGUCGUGAUUCAGAUCACCGAUGAUCAAGUGCCGAACGGACGGCACCUCCGCGUUCAACACACGUACAGCCCGGUGACGUCUCCCACGCCUUGAUCCAGCAAGGAGAGAGGGAGAGGUUGAGGAAGACUCCAUCCAACAGCAGCACAACGGCGUGGUGGUGGUGGAGGAGCGUGGCAAUCCCGCAGGGCUUCGCCGAGCACCUACGGGAGAGGAGAUGUGUCACGGGAGGGAGAGGGAGGCAACCAAAGGCCUUAGGUAUCAUUGCUCCUCCUUUUCCCCACUAUAUAUAGGGCCAAGGGAGAGGGGGAGGCGCAGCCUUGCCCCCUCCUCCAAGGAAGGGGUGCGGCUAAGGAUGGGGAGGAGUCCAUCCUCCCCAAGGCACCUCGGAGGUGCCUUCCCCUUUGAGGACUCUUCCCUCCCCAAGUUUCCUUGCGCAUGGGCCUCUUGGGGCUGGUGCCCUUGGCCCAUGUAGGCCAAGGCGCACCCCCUACAGCCCAUGUGGCCCCCCGGGGCAGGUGGCCCCACCCGGUGGGCCCCCGGGACCCUUCCGGUGGUCCCGGUACAAUACCGAUGACCCCGAAACUUGUCCCGAUGGCCGAAACAGGACUUCCUAUAUAUAAAUCUUUACCUCCGGACCAUUCCGGAACUCCUCGUGACGUCCGGGAUCUCAUCCGGGACUCCGAACAACAUUCGGUAACCACAUACAAGCUUCCUUUAUAACCCUAGCGUCAUCGAACCUUAAGUGUGUAGACCCUACGGGUUCGGGAGACAUGCAGACAUGACCAAGACGUUCUCCGGUCAAUAACCAACAGCGGGAUCUGGAUACCCAUGUUGGCUCCCACAUGUUCCACGAUGAUCUCAUCGGAUGAACCACGAUGUCAAGGACUCAAUCGAUCCCGUAUACAAUUCCCUUUGUCUAGCGGUAUUUUACUUGCCCGAGAUUCGAUCGUCGGUAUCCAAUACCUUGUUCAAUCUCGUUACCGGCAAGUCACUUUACUCGUUCCGUAACACAUCAUCCCGUGAUCAACUCCUUGGUCACAUUGCGCAUAUGAUGAUGUCCUACCGAGUGGGCCCAGAGAUACCUCUCCGUUUACACGGAGUGACAAAUCCCAGUCUCGAUCCGCAUAAAACAAUAGAUACUUUCGGAGAUACCUGUAGUGCACCUUUAUAGUCACCCAGUUACGUUGUGACGUUUGAUACCCCCAAAGCACUCCUACGGUAUCCAGGAGUUACACGCUCUCAUGGUCGAAGGAAGAGAUACUUGACAUUGGCAAAGCUCUAGCAAAUGAACUACACGAUCUUUUGUGCUAGUCUUAGGAUUGGGUCUUGUCCAUCACAUCAUUCUCCUAAUGAUGUGAUCCCGUUAUCAACGACAUCCAAUGUCCAUAGCCAGGAAACCAUGACUAUCUGUUGAUCACAAUGAGCUAGUCAACUAGAGGCUCACUAGGGACAUAUUGUGGUCUAUGUAUUCACACGUGUAUUACGAUUUCCGGAUAAUACAGUUAUAGCAUGAAUAAAAGACAAUUAUCAUGAACAAGGAAAUAUAAUAAUAAUACUUUUAUUAUUGCCUCUAGGGCAUAUUUCCAACAAACACUUCUUGAAAUUUUGUAAGGGAUCAUCUUAUUUACUACCGUCGUCCUAAGUAAACAAGAUGCAUAAUCAUAAUAAACAUCACAUGCAAUCAAAUAGUGACAUGAUAUGGCCAAUAUCAUUUUGCUCCUUUUGAUCUUCAUCUUCGGGGCUCCAUGAUCAUCAUCGUCACCGGCAUGACACCAUGAUCUCCAUCAUCAUGAUCUCCAUCAUCGUGUCUUCAUGAAGUUGUCACGCCAACGACUACUUCUACUUCUAUGGCUAACGCGUUUAGCAAUAAAGUAAAGUAAGUUACAUGGCGUUCUUCAAUGACACGCAGGUCAUACAAUAAAUUAAGACAACUCCUAUGGCUCCUGCCGGUUGUCAUACUCAUCGACAUGCAAGUCGUGAAUCCUAUUACAAGAACAUGAUCAAUCUCAUACAUCACAUAUAUCAUUCAUCACAUCCUUUUGGCCAUAUCACAUCACAUAGCAUACCCUGCAAAAACAAGUUAGACGUCCUCUAAUUGUUGUUUGCAUGUUUUAUGUGGCUGCUAUGGGUUUCUAGCAAGAACGUUUCUUACCUACGCAAAACCACAACGUGAUAUGCCAAUUGCUAUUUACCCUUCAUAAGGACCCUUUUCAUCGAAUCCGUUCCGACUAAAGUGGGAGAGACUGGCACCCGCUAGCCACCUUAUGCACCAAGUGCAUGUCAAUCGGUGGAACCUGUCUCACGUAAGAGUACGUGUAAGGUCGGUCCAGGCCGCUUCAUCCCACAAUACCGUCGAAACAAGAUUGGACUAGUAACGGUAAGCAUAUUGAACAACAUCAACGCCCACAACUACUUUGUGUUCUACUCGUGCAAAGAAUCUACGCAAUAGACCUAGCUCAUGAUGCCACUGUUGGGGAACGUAGCAGAAAUUCAAAAUUUUCCUACGUGUCACCAAGAUCUAUCUAUGGAGAGACCAGCAAUGAGUAGAAAGAGAGUGCAUCUACAUACCCUUGUAGAUCGCUAAGCGGAAGCGUUCAAGUGAACGGGGUUGAUGGAGUCGUACUCGUCGUGAUUCAGAUCACCGAUGAUCCUAGUGCCGAACGGACGGCACCUCCGCGUUCAACACACGUACAGCUCGACGAUGUCUCCCACGCCUUGAUCCAGCAAGGAGAGAGGAAGAGGUUGAGGAAGACUCCAUCCAGCAGCAGCACAACGGCGUGGUGGUGAUGGAGGAGCGUGGCAAUCCUGCAGGGCUUCGCCAAGCACCUACGGGAGAGGAGGAGGUGUCACGGGAGGGAGGGAGGCGCCAAGGGCUCAGGUAUGGAUGCCCUCCCUCCCCUCCACUAUAUAUAGGGGCAGGGGAGAGGGGGGAGGCGCAGCCUUUCCCCCUCCUCCAAGGAAGGGGUGCGGCUAAGGAGGGGGGAGGAGUCCAUCCUCCCCAAGGCACCUCGGAGGUGCCUUCCCCCUUUAGGACUCUCCCCUUUUUCCUAUAUCUUGGCGCAUGGGCCUCUAGGGGCUGGUGCCCUUGGCCCAUGUAGGCCAAGGCGCACCCCCUACAGCCCAUGUGGCCCCCCGGGGCAGGUGGCCCCACCCGGUGGGCCCCCGGGACCCUUCCGGUGGUCCCGGCACAAUACCGAUGACCCCGAAACUUGUCCCGAUGGCCGAAACAGGACUUCCUAUAUAUAAAUCUUUACCUCCGGACCAUUCCGGAACUCCUCGUGACGUCCGGGAUCUCAUCCGGGACUCCGAACAACAUUCGGUAACCACAUACAAGCUUCCUUUAUAACCCUAGCGUCAUCGAACCUUAAGUGUGUAGACCCUACGGGUUCGGGAGACAUGCAGACAUGACCGAGACGUUCUCCGGUCAAUAACCAACAGCGGGAUCUGGAUACCCAUGUUGGCUCCCACAUGUUCCACGAUGAUCUCAUCGGAUGAACCACGAUGUCAAGGACUCAAUCGAUCCCGUAUUCAAUUCCCUUUGUCUAGCGGUAUUUUACUUGCCCGAGAUUCGAUCGUCGGUAUCAAAUACCUUGUUCAAUCUCGUUAUCGGCAAGUCACUUUACUCGUUCCGUAACACAUCAUCCCGUGAUCAAAUCCUUGGUCACAUUGCGCAUAUGAUGAUGUCCUACCGAGUGGGCCCAGAGAUACCUCUCCGUUUUUCACGGAGUGACAAAUCCCAGUCUCGAUCCGCAUAAAACAAUAGAUACUUUCGGAGAUACCUGUAGUGCACCUUUAUAGUCACCCAGUUACGUUGUGACGUUUGAUACACCCAAAGCACUCCUACGGUAUCCAGGAGUUACACGAUCUCAUGGUCAAAGGAAAAGAUACUUGACAUUGGCAAAGUUCUAGCAAACGAACUACACGAUCUUUGUGCUAGUCUUAGGAUUGGGUCUUGUCCAUCACAUCAUUCUCCUAAUGAUGUGAUCCCGUUAUCAACGACAUCCAAUGUCCAUAGCCAGGAAACCGUGACCAUCUAUUGAUCAACGAGCUAGUCAACUAGAGGCUUACUAGGGACAUAUUGUGGUCUAUGUAUUCACACGUGUAUUACGAUUUCCGGAUAAUACAGUUAUAGCAUGAAUAAAAGACAAUUAUCAUGAACAAGGAAAUAUAAUAAUACUUUUAUUAUUGCCUCUAGGGCAUAUUUCCAACAGUCUCCCACUUGCACUAGAGUCAAUAAUCUAGUUCACAUUGUCAUGUGAUUAACACUCACAGGUCACAUCGCCAUGUGACUAAUACCCAAGAGUUUACUAGAGUCAGUAGUCUAGUUCACAUCACUAUGUGAUUAACACUCAAUGAGUUUUACGUUUGAUCAUGUUGCUUGUGAGAGAGGUUUUAGUCAACGGGUCUGAACCUUUCAGAUCCGUGUGUGCUUUACAAAUUUCUAUGUCAUCUCCUAGAUGCAGCUACCACGCUCUAUUUGGAGCUGUUCCAAAUAACUGUUCUACUUGGAGCUAUUCUAAAUUGUUGCCCCAUUGUACGUAUCCGGUAUCUCUACUCAGAGCUAUCCGGAUAGGUGUUAAGCUUGCAUCGACGUAACCUUUACGACGAACUCUUUUACCACCUCCAUAAUCGAGAAAAUUCCUUAGUCCACUAGUUACUAAGGAUAACUUUGACCGCUGUCCUGUGAGCCAUUCUUGGAUCACUCUUGUACCCCUUGACUGACUCAUGGCAAGGCACACUUCAGGUGCGGUACACAGCAUAGCAUACUGAAGAGCCUACGUCUUAAGCAUAGGGGACGACCUUCGUCCUUUCUCUCUAUUCUGCCGUGGUCGAGCUUUAAGUCUUAACUUCGUACCUUACAACUCAGGCAAGAACUCUUUCUUUGACUGGUCCAUCUUGAACACCUUCAAGAUCAUGUCAAGGUAUGUGCUCAUUUGAAAGUAUUAUUAAGCAUUUUGAUCUAUCCUUAUAGAUCUUGAUGCUCAAUGUUCAAGUAGCUUAAUCCAGGCUUUCCAUUGAAAAACACUUUCAAAAUAACCCUAUAUGCUUUCCAGAAAUUCUACGUCGUUUCUGAUCGACAAUAUGUCAACAACAUAUACUCAUCAGAAAUUCUAUAGUGCUCCCACUCACUUCUUUGGAAAUACAAGUUUCUCAUAAACUUUGUACAAACCCAAAAUCUUUGAUCAUCAUCAAAGCAUACAUUCCAACUCCGAGAUGCUCACUCCAGUCCUUAGAAGGAUCGCUGGAGCUAGCAUACCUUUUAGCAUCCUUAGGAUCGACAAAACUUUUCUGAUUGUAUUGCAUACAACCUUUCCUUACGAAAACUAGUAAGGAAACUUGUCUUGACAUCCAUCUGCCAGAUUUCAUAAAUGCAGCUAAUGCUAACAUGAUUCCGACGAACUUUAAGCAUCACUACGAGUGAGAAAAUCUCAUCGUAGUCAACUCCUUGAACUUGUCGGAAAACACUUCCCCACAAGUCGAGCUUCAUAGAUGGUGACAUUACCAUCCACGUCCGUCUUCUUAAAAGAUCCAUUUAUCUCAAUGGCUUGCCGAUCAUCGGGCAAGUCCACCAAAGUCCAUGCUUUGUUCUGAUAUAUGGAUACUAUCUCGGAUUUCAUGGUUUCUAACCAUUUGUCGGAAUUUGGGCCCACCAUCGCUUCUCCAUAGCUCGUAGGUUCAUUGUUGUCUAGCAACAUGACUUUUAAGACAGGAUCACCGUACCACUCUGAAGUAGUACGCGUCCUUGUCGUCCUACAAGGUUCAGUAGUGACUUGAUCCGAAGUCUCAUGAUCAAUAUCAUAAGCUUCCACUUCAAUUGGUGUAGGUGCCACGGGAACAACUUCCUGUGCCGUGCUACACACUGGUUGAAGUGAUGGUUCAAUAACCUCAUCAAGUUUCCACCAUCCUCCCACUCAAUUCUUUCGAGAGAAACUUUUCCUCGAGAAAGGACCCGAUUCAAGAAACAAUCCAUAUUGCUUUCGGAUCUGAAUUAGGAGGUAUACCCAACUGUUUUGGGUGUCCUAUGAAGAUGCAUUUUAUCCGCUUUGGGUUCGAGCUUAAUCCUGAAACUUUUUCAUAUAAGCGUCGCAGCCCCAAACUUUUAAGAAACGACAACUUAGGUUUCUCUAAACCAUAAUUCAUACGGUGUCAUCUCAUCGGAAUUAUGUGGUGCCCUAUUAAAAUGAGUGUGGUUGUCUCUAAUGCCUAACCCAUGAACGAUAGUGGUAAUUCGAUAAGAGAAAUCAUGGUACGCAUCAUAUCCAAUAGGGUGCAACUAUGAUGUUCGGACACACCAUCACACUAUGGUGUUCCAGGCGGUAUUAAUUGCGAAACAAUUUCCACAAUGUCUUAAUUGUGUGCCAAAACUCGUAACUCAGAUAUUCAUCUCCAUGAUCAUAUCAUAGACAUUUUAUCCUCUUGUCACAAUGAUCUGCUACUUCACUCUGAAAUUACUUGAACCAUUCAAUAAUUCAGACUGGUGUUUCAUCAAGUAAAUAUACUCAACAUCUACUCAAAUCAUCUGUGAAGUAAGAACAUAACGAUAUUCACUGCAUGCCUCAGCACUUAUUGGACUGCACACAUCAAAAUGUGUUACUUCCAACGAGUUGCUAUCUUGUUCCGUCUUACUGAAAACGAGGCUUUUCAGUCAUCUUGCCUAUGUGGUAUGAUUUGCAUAUCUCAAGUGAUUCAAAAUCAAGUGAGUUCAAACGGUCCAUUUGCAUGGAGUUUCUUCAUGCAUAUAUACCAAUAGACAUGGUUCGCAUGUCUCAAACUUUUCAAAACGAGUGAGUCCAAAGAUCCAUCAACAUGGAGCUUCUUCAUGCGUUUUAUACCAAUAUGACUUACACAGCAGUGCCACAAGUAGGUGGUACUAUCAUUACUAUCUUUUGGCAUGAACAUGUGUAUCACUACGAUCGAGAUUCAAUAAACCAUUCGUUUCAGGUGUAAGACCAUUGAAGGUAUUAUUCAAAUAAACAGAGUAACCAUUAUUCUCCUUAACUGAAUAACCGUAUUUCGAUAGACGUAAUCCAAUCAUGUCUAUGCUCAACGCAAACACCAAUCUCGGUGGUAGAGGGAGCGUGCGAUGCUUGAUCAUAUCAAACUUGGAAACACUUCCAACAUAUAUCGUCAGCUCACCUUUAGCUAGUCUCCGUUUAUUCCGUAGCUUUUAUUUCGAGUUACUAACACUUAGCAACCGAACCGGUAUCUAAUACCCUGGUGCUACUAGGAGUACUAGUAAAGUACACAUUAACAUAAUGUAUAUCCAGUAUACUUCUAUCGACCUUGCCAGCCUUCUCAUCUACCAAGUAUCUAGGGUAAUGCUGCUCCAGUGGCUGUUCCUCUUAUUGCAGAAGUACUUAGUCUCGGGUUUGGGUUCUACCUUGGGUUUCUUCACUAGAGAAGCAGCUGAAUUGCCGUUUCAUGAAGUAUCCCUUUGUUCCCUUGCCCUUCCUGAAACUAGUGGUUUCACCAACCAUCAACAAUUGAUGCUCCUUCUUGAUUUCUACUUUCGCGGUGUCAGACAUCGCGAAUAUCUCAAGGAUCAUCAUAUAUGUCCCUGAUAUAUCAUAGUUCAUCACGAAGCUCUAGCAGCUUGGUGGUAAUGACUUCGGAGAACCAUCACUAUUUCAUCUGGAAGAUCAACUCCCACUCGAUUUAAGUGAUUGUUGUACUCAGACAAUCUGAGCACAAGCUCAAAAAUUGAGCUUUUCUCCCUUAGUCUGUAGGCUAAGAAAAUCAUCGGAGGUCUUAUACCUCUUGACGUGGGCACGAGCCUGAAAUCCCAAUUUCAGCCCUCAAAACAUCUCAUAUGUUUCGCGAUGUUUCAAAAACAUCUUUGGUGCCUCAAUUCUAAACCGUUUAACUGAACUAUCACGUAGUUAUCAAAACGUGUAUGUUCGAUGUUCGAAACAUCCACAAACGACGUUUGGGGUUCAGCACAUUGAGCAGCGCAUUAAGGACAUAAGCUUUCUACUGUCCGCAUAAUCGCUACUUUCAACUUUCAACUAUAAUUUUCUCUAGGAACAUAUCUAAACAGUAGAACUAUAGCGCGAGCUACGACAUAAUUUGCAAAGGGUCUUUUGACUAUGUUCAAGAUAAUUAAGUUCAUCUUAUGAACUCCCACUCAGAUAGACAUCCCUCUGGUCAUCUAAGUGAUUACAUGAUCCGAGUCAAACUAGACCGUGUCCGAUCAUCACGUGAGACGGACUAGUCAUCAUCGGUGAACAUCUUCAUGUUGAUCGUAUCUUCUAUACGACUCAUGCUCGACCUUUCGGUCUCCGUGUUCCGAGGCCAUGUCUGUACAUGCUAGGCUCGUCAAGUUAACCCUAAGUGUUUUUGCUGUGUAAAACUGUCUUACACCCGUUGUAUGUGAACGUAAGAAUCUAUCACACCCGAUCAUCACGUGGUGCUUCGAAACGACGAACUGUAGCAACGGUGCACAGUUAGGGGAGAACACUUCUUGAAAUUUUAAUGAGGGAUCAUCUUAUUUACUACCGUCGUUCUAAGUAAACAAGAUGCAUAAACAUGAUAAACAUCACAUGCAAUCAAAUAAGAGUAGUGACAUGAUAUGGCCAAUAUCAUAUAGCUCCUUUGAUCUUCAUCUUCGGGGCUCCAUGAUCAUCUUGUCACCGGCAUGACACCAUGAUCUCCAUCAUCAUGAUCUCCAUCAUCGUGUCUUCAUGAAGUUGUCACACCAACGACUACUUCUACUUCUAUGGCUAACGCGUUUAGCAAUAAAGUAAAGUAAUUUACAUGGCGUUCUUCAAUGACACGCAGGUCAUACAAAAAAUAAAGACAACUCCUAUGGCUCCUGCCGGUUGUCAUACUCAUCGACAUGCAAGUCGUGAAUCCUAUUACAAGAACAUGAUCAAUCUCAUACAUUACAUAUAUCAUUCAUCACAUCCUUUUGGCCAUAUCACAUCACAUAGCAUACCCUGCAAAAACAAGUUAGACGUCAUCUAAUUGUUGUUGCAUGUUUUACGUGGCUGCUAUGGGUUUCUAGCAAGAACGUUUCUUACCUACGCAAGACCACAACGUGAUAUGCCAAUUGCUAUUUACCCUUCAUAAGGACCCUUUUCAUCGAAUCCGUUCCGACUAAAGUGGGAGAGACUGGCACCCGCUAGCCACCUUAUGCACCAAGUGCAUGUCAAUCGGUGGAACCUGUCUCACGUAAGAGUACGUGUAAGGUCGGUCCGGGCCGCUUCAUCCCACAAUACCGUCGAAACAAGAUUGGACUAGUAACGGUAAGCAUAUUGAACAACAUCAACGCCCACAACUACUUUGUGUUCUACUCGUACAAAGAAUCUACGCAAUAGACCUAGCUCAUGAUGUCACUGUUGGGGAACGUAGCGGAAAUUCAAAAAUUUUCCUACGAAUCACCAAGAUCUAUCUAUGGAGAGACCAGCAACGAGUAGAAAGGAGAGGAGAGUUUGCAUCUACAUACCCUUGUAGAUCGAUAAGCGGAAGCGUUCAAGUGAACGGGGUUGAUGGAGUCGUACUCGUCGUGAUUCAGAUCACCGAUGAUCAAGUGCCGAACGGACGGCACCUCCGCGUUCAACACACGUACAGCCCGGUGACGUCUCCCACGCCUUGAUCCAGCAAGGAGAGAGGGAGAGGUUGAGGAAGACUCCAUCCAACAGCAGCACAACGGCGUGGUGGUGGUGGAGGAGCGUGGCAAUCCCGCAGGGCUUCGCCGAGCACCUACGGGAGAGGAGAUGUGUCACGGGAGGGAGAGGGAGGCAACCAAAGGCCUUAGGUAUCAUUGCUCCUCCUUUUCCCCACUAUAUAUAGGGCCAAGGGAGAGUGGGGAGGCGCAGCCUUGCCCCCUCCUCCAAGGAAGGGGUGCGGCUAAGGAUGGGGAGGAGUCCAUCCUCCCCAAGGCACCUCGGAGGUGCCUUCCCCUUUGAGGACUCUUCCCUCCCCAAGUUUCCUUGCGCAUGGGCCUCUUGGGGCUGGUGCCCUUGGCCCAUGUAGGCCAAGGCGCACCCCCUACAGCCCAUGUGGCCCCCCGGGGCAGGUGGCCCCACCCGGUGGGCCCCCGGGACCCUUCCGGUGGUCCCGGUACAAUACCGAUGACCCCGAAACUUGUCCCGAUGGCCGAAACAGGACUUCCUAUAUAUAAAUCUUUACCUCCGGACCAUUCCGGAACUCCUCGUGACGUCCGGGAUCUCAUCCGGGACUCCGAACAACAUUCGGUAACCACAUACAAGCUUCCUUUAUAACCCUAGCGUCAUCGAACCUUAAGUGUGUAGACCCUACGGGUUCGGGAGACAUGCAGACAUGACCAAGACGUUCUCCGGUCAAUAACCAACAGCGGGAUCUGGAUACCCAUGUUGGCUCCCACAUGUUCCACGAUGAUCUCAUCGGAUGAACCACGAUGUCAAGGACUCAAUCGAUCCCGUAUACAAUUCCCUUUGUCUAGCGGUAUUUUACUUGCCCGAGAUUCGAUCGUCGGUAUCCAAUACCUUGUUCAAUCUCGUUACCGGCAAGUCACUUUACUCGUUCCGUAACACAUCAUCCCGUGAUCAACUCCUUGGUCACAUUGCGCAUAUGAUGAUGUCCUACCGAGUGGGCCCAGAGAUACCUCUCCGUUUACACGGAGUGACAAAUCCCAGUCUCGAUCCGCAUAAAACAAUAGAUACUUUCGGAGAUACCUGUAGUGCACCUUUAUAGUCACCCAGUUACGUUGUGACGUUUGAUACCCCCAAAGCACUCCUACGGUAUCCAGGAGUUACACGCUCUCAUGGUCGAAGGAAGAGAUACUUGACAUUGGCAAAGCUCUAGCAAAUGAACUACACGAUCUUUUGUGCUAGUCUUAGGAUUGGGUCUUGUCCAUCACAUCAUUCUCCUAAUGAUGUGAUCCCGUUAUCAACGACAUCCAAUGUCCAUAGCCAGGAAACCAUGACUAUCUGUUGAUCACAAUGAGCUAGUCAACUAGAGGCUCACUAGGGACAUAUUGUGGUCUAUGUAUUCACACGUGUAUUACGAUUUCCGGAUAAUACAGUUAUAGCAUGAAUAAAAGACAAUUAUCAUGAACAAGGAAAUAUAAUAAUAAUACUUUUAUUAUUGCCUCUAGGGCAUAUUUCCAACAAACACUUCUUGAAAUUUUGUAAGGGAUCAUCUUAUUUACUACCGUCGUCCUAAGUAAACAAGAUGCAUAAUCAUAAUAAACAUCACAUGCAAUCAAAUAGUGACAUGAUAUGGCCAAUAUCAUUUUGCUCCUUUUGAUCUUCAUCUUCGGGGCUCCAUGAUCAUCAUCGUCACCGGCAUGACACCAUGAUCUCCAUCAUCAUGAUCUCCAUCAUCGUGUCUUCAUGAAGUUGUCACGCCAACGACUACUUCUACUUCUAUGGCUAACGCGUUUAGCAAUAAAGUAAAGUAAGUUACAUGGCGUUCUUCAAUGACACGCAGGUCAUACAAUAAAUUAAGACAACUCCUAUGGCUCCUGCCGGUUGUCAUACUCAUCGACAUGCAAGUCGUGAAUCCUAUUACAAGAACAUGAUCAAUCUCAUACAUCACAUAUAUCAUUCAUCACAUCCUUUUGGCCAUAUCACAUCACAUAGCAUACCCUGCAAAAACAAGUUAGACGUCCUCUAAUUGUUGUUUGCAUGUUUUAUGUGGCUGCUAUGGGUUUCUAGCAAGAACGUUUCUUACCUACGCAAAACCACAACGUGAUAUGCCAAUUGCUAUUUACCCUUCAUAAGGACCCUUUUCAUCGAAUCCGUUCCGACUAAAGUGGGAGAGACUGGCACCCGCUAGCCACCUUAUGCACCAAGUGCAUGUCAAUCGGUGGAACCUGUCUCACGUAAGAGUACGUGUAAGGUCGGUCCAGGCCGCUUCAUCCCACAAUACCGUCGAAACAAGAUUGGACUAGUAACGGUAAGCAUAUUGAACAACAUCAACGCCCACAACUACUUUGUGUUCUACUCGUGCAAAGAAUCUACGCAAUAGACCUAGCUCAUGAUGCCACUGUUGGGGAACGUAGCAGAAAUUCAAAAUUUUCCUACGUGUCACCAAGAUCUAUCUAUGGAGAGACCAGCAAUGAGUAGAAAGAGAGUGCAUCUACAUACCCUUGUAGAUCGCUAAGCGGAAGCGUUCAAGUGAACGGGGUUGAUGGAGUCGUACUCGUCGUGAUUCAGAUCACCGAUGAUCCUAGUGCCGAACGGACGGCACCUCCGCGUUCAACACACGUACAGCUCGACGAUGUCUCCCACGCCUUGAUCCAGCAAGGAGAGAGGAAGAGGUUGAGGAAGACUCCAUCCAGCAGCAGCACAACGGCGUGGUGGUGAUGGAGGAGCGUGGCAAUCCUGCAGGGCUUCGCCAAGCACCUACGGGAGAGGAGGAGGUGUCACGGGAGGGAGGGAGGCGCCAAGGGCUCAGGUAUGGAUGCCCUCCCUCCCCUCCACUAUAUAUAGGGGCAGGGGAGAGGGGGGAGGCGCAGCCUUUCCCCCUCCUCCAAGGAAGGGGUGCGGCUAAGGAGGGGGGAGGAGUCCAUCCUCCCCAAGGCACCUCGGAGGUGCCUUCCCCCUUUAGGACUCUCCCCUUUUUCCUAUAUCUUGGCGCAUGGGCCUCUAGGGGCUGGUGCCCUUGGCCCAUGUAGGCCAAGGCGCACCCCCUACAGCCCAUGUGGCCCCCCGGGGCAGGUGGCCCCACCCGGUGGGCCCCCGGGACCCUUCCGGUGGUCCCGGCACAAUACCGAUGACCCCGAAACUUGUCCCGAUGGCCGAAACAGGACUUCCUAUAUAUAAAUCUUUACCUCCGGACCAUUCCGGAACUCCUCGUGACGUCCGGGAUCUCAUCCGGGACUCCGAACAACAUUCGGUAACCACAUACAAGCUUCCUUUAUAACCCUAGCGUCAUCGAACCUUAAGUGUGUAGACCCUACGGGUUCGGGAGACAUGCAGACAUGACCGAGACGUUCUCCGGUCAAUAACCAACAGCGGGAUCUGGAUACCCAUGUUGGCUCCCACAUGUUCCACGAUGAUCUCAUCGGAUGAACCACGAUGUCAAGGACUCAAUCGAUCCCGUAUUCAAUUCCCUUUGUCUAGCGGUAUUUUACUUGCCCGAGAUUCGAUCGUCGGUAUCAAAUACCUUGUUCAAUCUCGUUAUCGGCAAGUCACUUUACUCGUUCCGUAACACAUCAUCCCGUGAUCAAAUCCUUGGUCACAUUGCGGAUAUGAUGAUGUCCUACCGAGUGGGCCUAGAGAUACCUCUCCGUUUUUCACGGAGUGACAAAUCCCAGUCUCGAUCCGCAUAAAACAAUAGAUACUUUCGGAGAUACCUGUAGUGCACCUUUAUAGUCACCCAGUUACGUUGUGACGUUUGAUACACCCAAAGCACUCCUACGGUAUCCAGGAGUUACACGAUCUCAUGGUCAAAGGAAAAGAUACUUGACAUUGGCAAAGUUCUAGCAAACGAACUACACGAUCUUUGUGCUAGUCUUAGGAUUGGGUCUUGUCCAUCACAUCAUUCUCCUAAUGAUGUGAUCCCGUUAUCAACGACAUCCAAUGUCCAUAGCCAGGAAACCGUGACCAUCUAUUGAUCAACGAGCUAGUCAACUAGAGGCUUACUAGGGACAUAUUGUGGUCUAUGUAUUCACACGUGUAUUACGAUUUCCGGAUAAUACAGUUAUAGCAUGAAUAAAAGACAAUUAUCAUGAACAAGGAAAUAUAAUAAUACUUUUAUUAUUGCCUCUAGGGCAUAUUUCCAACAACGAGAGGGAGAGAGAGAUAGAGAUAGAGUUGAGAUUGCAAAGUUAAACAACUAUCUAUCUAACAAUGGAAAAGGGGAGACAGGCGGCGAGCUAAACCCCUCGCCUGAACUGGAUGGAGGCGACCGUGCUCAUGGAAGGUUCCGGUUGUUGAGCCAACGCAAUGAUCGCCUGUUGGCCUCGCGGAUAAAUGGACCAAGUUGUCAUUUGGCAUCGGUUGGUGCCGCUCAUUCUGAAGUGAUGAACAAUAGUUGAUCGUCAUAGUAAAUCUAAAAUAGUUCAUGUUCCUCGAAAAGAAUCGAAACAAAACAGACAAACAAAGUGCAAAGUUGACGAGACAAACAACUCCGGAGAACGAAACUGAGAUGGACCCUUCCUUAUAUGGGUAGCUGAAAGCGAAUGACAUGGUGGUGGCCUGGCAUUUUCUUCAAAAAAACAUAACUUAAUUCUUUGUAAAACAAACACGAGUUCAUAGGUAUGAUUGUACAAGUAAAUGUGACAAUUUACUUAGGACAACUCAUGUACUAAAGGACAUGUUUAAUUUUCAAAGAAGGAAGCUUUUAUUGGACCUAAUUGUUAAUCCUAAAUACUUCAGAGCGCACGCGCACUAUCUUGGUGAAACGAGCGGCCCAGCACGAGCCGCUCGAUCAGCCCAGAUCGUGUGGUCAUCGGCCUCAGGUGGUACCCGGUUAGGAGGUGACCGAACGUGCACGUGGCUGGGCCCGUCCGCAAGCACCGCUUUCCAGGUCCAGCCAGUUCCCAUCGCACAGGAUAGCAUGAAGGGUGAGCCACGCCUCUUUCUCCUUCCCUUAUCCAUUUUGCUUUCUUCUAGCGAUGUUCGUGUCAUUUCUUCCCCAAAUCUAGUAGGGAUAGGCCACCGUUGCCGCGAUUGCAGCCGAAGGCGAAGGGCGGGAGCGCGGGAUCCGCAUCUUGUCACCGGCGCAGGUACAAUACGCCCGCCUUUUUUGCCUCGCAUCUCCUGCUUCCCCAUUUUUCCCCUGCCGUGGUCGGGAUCCUCCGUAAUUGGCUCGCCGAAGAGGGGUUCUAAGAUUUCCAGUGGAUGUCCAGUGAGUACGAGGUAGCUUUCGCGAGAGGCGUCGCCCGUGACUACCUGGUCAACUCCGGUGAUUUGGGGAGUUCCUGUUUUGUCAGGGGGAGUCGAGGGUGCGUGUUCUAGGGGAUACGGGUUUCAUGGCGAUUCACCUCCAUAUCACGCAGAUUCAGCGAGGUAUUCCGGCAUGUUGCCUCCGGCCAAACCGUUUGAUCUGGCAUGGCGAUUUUUUGUUUUUUUAGCGGCGAUUUGAGUUGGAAUAGAAGAAAGGGAGUACAUAAGAGUACUAAGAGGAUAGUUCUGAUGUUUUUGCUCAACCCUCUCAAAAUAUAUCCGUGUGGUUUCUUUGUUUUCUCAUAAGUGCAUGCAUAUAUGUAACCAGUUGGCUAGUUUGUUCUCGUAGUUGCACAGAAACGCAAAUGUAGUUGGAUCACACAUAUACAUAUCUCAGUUGUCUAGCCAACUUAUGGAGUUGCACAGUGAUGGCUAACCAAUUGCCUCAGAUGGAUACACUGUGUAAACCAUGUUCAAACAGUAUGUGUGUUUUUUGGUUGCACACUCAUGGGUGCUAUAUUGUUAAGGGUAUGCGUUCAUAUAGGAGUUUGCAAAAUCAAAGCAGUACAUAUCCUAGUUGGCUUAGUCAUACUUAUGCAGUUGUACAUGAAAGGGCUAUGUAGUUGCAUGGCUGGAGGCUAGUUUAGUUAUGGCUGAGAUGCCUAAAUCAUGAUUAGUUAGUGUGUAUGCAGAUUUUUUGGUUGCACACUCAUGUGUGCCUGUUGGCCAUACAGUGCAUCAAGUUGCACACAUUUUGUUUUGUUUUGUAGGUGUGCUUUGAAAAAUCAACAUUACUUGUUUAAAUUAUGGCAUUACUUUGAUAUCAAUUUUCCCCUCAUUUUUCUCUUUUAUACAUAUGGUUCCUUUGACUAAUUUGUUCGUUUGCUUUUUUUAACAGACCAAAAAUGGUUGUAGAAGGAGAUGUGGCUCCUAGUGAAGGAGAGGUAUGUUUGCUUUUUCAUCGUUUUUCGUUUAUCCUUGUAGAAGUUUUGUUUUGCAAUUAUAAUAACUAUUUUGGAGGGUUUUCCUGAGCAUGUUCUGGGUUUUGUUUGUUCUAUGCAGGGAUCUGCAAACCAUUCUUCUAGGUAGAACUCGAAACGACCCACAGAGCGGCAGAAGCGUCGUGUUGAUAUCGACGGGGUGGCAGAGGAUCAUGAGGCAAGUAUCGAGCAACCAGUGUGGGUGCAUGUCACUUUUUUUUGCGUGCGCGCGCACACACACACACACACAUACACACACAGAGAGAGAUAAGUAACUUUUUCCAUGCAUCCUUUAGGUUGCUUACUAAUUCCGCUUUGUGAAAUGGUGUAAACGAAAGGCGACCACGCAGGUUCGAGUUGUAGAUGGAGCCGGCACAUUGCCCGAAGUAGCUGCUGAGGUAACAUGAAAUGGCAUUAGGCUUUUUUCUUUUAUUUUUUUCUACACAAAGAAACCUAGGAUGUGGUAUUUUACACAGUUGCACAAGAACCCGCUAGGUGUGGGUUGGCAUCCUGAACUUUUAUAGUUGCACAAGAAUGAAUUAGGAGUUGGUAUCCUCAACUUUUCAAAUAGUUGCACCACAAUAUCGUACGAGUUGGCACCCUAGACUUUCAUAGAUGCACCGGAACCAUUUGGGAGUUGGCAGUCUCAACUUUUUAAAUAGUCCCACAACAAUAUCACAUGAGUUGGCAUCCACAACAAUUUUAGUUGCACUAGAACCAAUCGGUAGUUGGCAUCCCCAACCUUUUUUAAUAGUUGCACGACAAUGACACAUGAGUUGGCAUCUUCAACUUCUUUAGUUGCACAAGAACCAUUUUGUAGUUGGCAUCCUCAUGUGUUCACAUGAAUAUGAUUUUCUAGGUUUCCAGAUGCACUUGAAUGUAGUUGCACUACUUAUUUGGUAGAUUAUAAUCUUUUAAAAUUCAUGUUCAUCAGUUCAAAAUUCAUGUUCAUCAGUUCAAAAUUCAUUGCAUAGUUGUAGAAACCUGCAACAUGAAUUGCAUCCAGGAGUACUUACAAUUGCGCAAAAUAGAUGAUGAAGUUGUACAAUAACCAGCAUAAAGUGUUUUUGGAAUUAUGCAUACAGAAGUUUAGCUAAAACCAAAAUGAAUAUGAAAUUAUAUGAGUUGGCAUCUUCUACUUCUAUAUGAGUUGAAGAUGCCAACUACUGAAAUCCAAACACCACAAGUAGAUGUAUAUGGGAGUGUUGUCAAUUUGCACACUUGUACUUUAAGUUGCACAAACACAAGCGAGAGUUGGUUCAUUUCUUCUCAGGCUUCUUUUUUGUAUCAUAUGCAGGUUUUACAGGGUAUGGGGGUGGAUGAUCUGCUGUAGAUUUUUUCUCACAAUUCUAAGCUAUAAAAUCAUGUAUACUAGUGUGUGGAAAGAUCAAAGGAAAAAACACAUGCAAACCAGAUUCUUGUCUAGUUGGUGGCUAUGUUUUCAUAGUACCUACAAUAUACUUUUCUUUUCUUUUUUGCUACAUUUACAUUGGUUCUUCUGAAUUAUGUGUGAACUAAGACUCUCUAUGUCCUCUCUCCUAUAUGUUGGCACAUUUUCUGUGUUUUGUUGCACACAUUGUUGUAAAAGUUGGCUAGUCCCAUGAUGAAGUUGCAUGAAAAUCAGUUGCACAUGUACCAGAUCUCCCUAUUUUUUUAUCUCUGUUUAUGCACUCUUCAACUAUGAAGAAGUUAUUUUUGCAAGGAGAAAUUUGGUGAGAGGGGAAAGGGAAAGUUAAGGAGGGGGAGGAUCUGAACAGGAGGCAGAAGUGAUCACUUCUUUUUUUCACCCUAUUUUGGUUCUGCCGGAUACUUUCUGAUAUGUUUGUGCUCGCUCUUUCUUUCUUUUUUGUAGCAAUUGUUAUUGCACAUUAAUUCAUCUGCCAUGGCAGCUCUGGCGAUGGAGAUCCAGACCUGAAAACCCUUAGCUUAAUGGGGAAGAAGGUGGGAGCAGGUAGGGCAUGGGAAGAAGAAGUUGGUGGCCAGGAGUGCAUGGGAGGGCACGUGAUGGCUUGGAGACCACGUACGACGCGUGGUUUAUUGGGUUAGAACGCAUCUGUUGCUACUCGUGGAGCACUUUCCUUUUCUGGAACGGUGAGGACCGAAUCUUUUCCUUUUCUGGCGGCCGCUCGGGAACGCUAGGGAGCAGCCAGCCGCUCCCUAGACGCAUCCAUUGUUAAUAGUAUUAAGAAGGACGUGUCUAGGGAGCGGCUGUUGGCUGGUUAGUCUUCCCGAGUAGUCGACCGAAAAGGAAACUUUUGGUCCCCCACUCCAGAAAAGGAAACACCAGCUCACCCACGUCACGUAAGGCAUCUCGAUUCCCAGCCGAUCCCCGCCCACUUCCAGCGUGUGAGCCCCGAUCACGUGCACAGCAAAAGAUACGUCCAAUGCCCUCCCAGUCGAUAAUAUGUGCCAUGUGAACAAGUGUGAACGUAUUUAAUUUGGGUUUUAGAAUUUUUAAAAAGCCAUAACUUUUGAACCAAACAUCAAAAUUCAGAUCGGUUUUUACCGUCAGAAUCCUCGCGGCGUGCUCUUCGAAACUAGAUCCCGCAUGAGUAUGUUUUGACGAAUUUUUGUGUGUGCAACUUAUGCCCCAUUUUGUGCAACUGUCUAGUAGUCGAUAUGCAACUAAAUGAUAGUCGAUGUGCAACUUUCUUCCUACUCAUGGACGUGUGGUUUUCACUUGGAGGGAGUAGCAACAGUAAUCUGAUGUCUGUGUAAUUAAACACCACUCUGUGCAACUAAACCUAGUAGCAAAACCAACUUUUGUCUGGAUGUGUGCAAAUAGACACAAGGGAGUAGUUCUGCAAUUUUUUUUGCAACAAGCAGCCCAGACUAGAAACAUGGAGUGGAUGUACUUUUUGUGCAAAAGGAGUACAUAUUUGUGCAACUAAAUCAUGGAUCCAAGCCAUCUUUUCCUGCAAUGUGUGCAACCAACAGCCAAAACUAUAAAAAAAGUAAAUAUAUGUGCACAUUAAGCACUAAUCCAAGGACAACUUUCUGCAAAAUGUGUGCAAGAAACAGCCGAGACUAGAAAGAUGGACUAGGUGUACUGUUUGUGCAAAAAGAAGCACAUAUUUAUGUAACUAAAAACAUUGGUUCAAAACCAAUUUUCCUACAGCAUGUGUGCAAAAAAAAAUCCCAGACUAGAAAGAUGGACUGGGUUUAUUGUUUAUGCAAAAAGAAGAACAAAUGUGUGCAACUAAGCAUGGGUCCAAGCCAACCUUUUUAUGCAAAUGUGUGCAACAAAACAGCCCAGACUGGAGUCCAUCUAUUCUAGUCUUUUGGCUGUUGGUUGCACACAUUGCAGGAAAAGAUGGUAUUGGAUCCAUGUUUAGUUGGCACAAAUAUGGACUUUUAUUUGCACAAACACUACAUUCAGUUUAUCUUUUCCUGCAAAAAAUGUGUGCAACCAACACACGGACUAGAUGAAACUAAAAAAGACUGAAUUUGUUGUCUGUGCAAAUAUAAACAUAUAAUUGUGCAGCUAAACUUAUAUGAAAAGCCAACUUUUGCUGCAAAAGUGUGCAGCAAAGAAACCAGACUAGAAAAAGCACAAGAACAGUAUUAAAAACGAGUGUACAAAUAGUCUUGUCUCACACAAAUUGCAAUAGGGGGAAUAUGUUCUAUAGGAUGUUCUAUAUACUAAAAGUGAAACAGAAAAGAAGAUGAAAUUUUAUUUCCUGUCAUCAGAAAACGGUGCCAAAGGUGAUCACAUUCCAACGUGAUCACCUGAGGUUUUGCAAACAAAAGGUGACAAAGAUGAUUAGUUAACACUGCAUACAAAAUAUUUGUUGUUCUUCAGAAAAACUGGAUAAAAAAGGUUGACGAUGCCAACUUGAUAUUAUGUUAGUUGUGCAACUACAAAAUGCAGAGGAUGCCAACUAAAAUAGUUACUCUUGUGCAACUAGAAAGGAUGAGGAUGUCAACUAGUUAGAUGCUAUUGUGUAACUAGAAAUGCUCAGGAUGCCAACUAAUUAAAUACUCUUGUGCAACUAGAAAGGCUGAGGGUGCCAAAUCAUCAGAUACUCUUGGGCAACCCUCAAAAAUGUGAAGAUGAGACUAAAAAAUAGUUACUCUCGUGGCUGAGGAAUUCAAUUAGUUGGAUACUGUUUGUGCAAGUAGAAAUGCUGCGGAUACCAACUAAUUGUAUACUCUUGUGCAACUAUAAAUCUUGAGGAUGACAAUUAAUUAGAUACACUUGGGAAAAGAAAUAUUCAACACUUGCAUGACCAAUCAAAUAAUUGCACGUUCAGGUUUUAGGAUUCUAGAAGAAAAUGCUGAGGGUUUCAACACAGCUACAAAAAGACUGAGGAUGUCAACUAGUUGGAUGGUAUUGUGCAACUAGAAAUGCUAAGGAUGUCAACAAUCAGGUACUCUUGUGCAACUAGAAAAGCCUGAGGAUGCCAGCUCAUUUAUAUACUCUUUAGGACAUAUCAUCAUCCUCUCCAUCCCCAUCAUUAUCAGCAGCACGUGGUUGCUGCUUAGCCGCCCGUUUUGAGUUCCGCCAAGAGGUCCUAUUUGGAAAACCCUACAAUGAACAAAAAAUAUUAAACUACGGAGAUGGUAAAAGAAAAUAGCAUAAAUAAAUGGCCAUAGGAUAAAAGAAAAGGAAAAUAUGAACCUAUGUUUCACUACCAGGCACAUUUCCUCUGGUUGCACAGUAAUGUAUCCCUAGUUGCGCAGGAUCCCAGACCCUAGUUGCACAGAACUAAAAUAAAAUUAUUUGCCUAGUUUGCUUACAAAUUUGGCUAGAAGAUAUGAUAGAUUGCACAGGAAGGCUCCCCAAUUUGCACAGAACUGACACCAAAAACUGAUAUACAGAGAACGAAAAUUAUUUGCCUAGUUUGCUUACAAAUUGGGCUACAAAGAUAUGAUAGAUUGCUAAGGAACCCCUAGUUGCACAUAACUAACACCAAAAAAUUGAUAUACAGAGAACACGAUUUAUUUUGCCUAGUUUGCUUACAAAAUUUGGCUACCAAAUGUAAUAGAUUGCACAUGGAGGCGCCCCUAGUUGCACAGAACUAACACCAAAAACUGACUUACAAAUUUGGCUAGUGGCUAUGAUAAAUUGUACAGAAACGGGCGAAAAUGCCUUACGGUGGACGAACACUCUGCGGACCAUAUCCUGCCCGUCCGUUAUCCUAACUGAUCAGAUCCCUCCCGGUAUUUACGCGUUCUGUCCCCCCAAGAGCCUCGUCAAAGCCUGUAUCCCGGCAGCUAUAGGUAGCUAACUUUAUUGACAAAGAAUCUAGCUGCUGGAACACAUCGUGCACCAUUUCAAUUUACCCUCUGCCACCCAGAACAGUUUGAUGUGACGUGACCUUGUGCCCAAUUGACCCCUCACGAGAGCACAUAGAAUAAUAAUCCGCCAUUAAGACCAAUUUGUUAGUCAGUAUAAUGCACAGAGAGUAUGAUACUAUUAACAGUCUAUUAAGUCCACUAAACACCUAUUAAUCUCGUACAAACUGCUUUAGAGUAAUUUAUUAUUGUGACCCUCGUCCAGAUAUUUUUAUAACUCUCAAUAUUAUCAAAUGUUUUUCUGGUCACCAAUUAUCUUAAACUCUAUACUGUCACCUUAUAAUUUCAUUAGGUAGACUUAUAUGUGUUCUUAGAUUUUAUCCAUAAAAUAAUACUAGUAUAUUGUCUGUUAGCACCAUCUGCUUGUCAGGGCCAUUUACCUAAACUAGGAUUAAACUGUUUUUAUAUGACCGUUAGAAGUUUCUGCACAAUUGGGGCUCUGAACAAGAAUUGGUCUCGCACAGUUUGUUAGGUUAAUGUAUUACUCUCCCGGGAAAAAAAUUAAUGUAUUAUUGUGCCACCUGUUGUAUAAUUUUUUGUAUUACCAAACUUUGUUCUUUUGCAACAAACCAUCUUUGAGCCUAGUCUGUGAGAAGGUUAAAAUGUCUUUUGAUGGACUUUUGAGAAAAACAAUAUUUCCACAGUGCAAAAAAAAUCAAAAAUAUCUUGUACAUACACAAAUGCAUAUAGAACACAUUCAACAGAAUUUAAUAACAAUGUGGUUUCAUAUGGGACGUAAACAAAUAUGUCAAUAAAAGUGGGUCAAUUUUUUUAUUGUUGGACCAAGAUUUUCUUUUUUGUACAGCUUGCAAGUCAUAAUAUUUCUUGAACAAAUUUUCACAGGUUCCAUCGUGAAUAUGUAUAAGUUUUCAAAGUUUUUUUCCAAACUGGACAAAUAUGAUUUUUGAAUCAUUUGAAAAAAAAGGAUCAAACGCACCGUCCACCAUACUGUUUUUAGAUUUUAUCAAUCUCUUUUUUAUCCAGCACAUUAAACUAAUCAAGUAGAUUUGAUUAGUGACCCUGACCAAUUUCUUUUUAGAUCCACUAGACGCAAGAGAUGCGCACUGUGCAUGAUGAAACAUUAGCAGGGUCCCCUUUUGUCACGUUAGGCAAAAAGUUUCUGCAUUGUGGCCCACACCACCCAUCAAGCUAGCAGUACAUCGGUAGGUCACCAACUCCUUCCCUGCGCAUGUGCAUGUACAGAUCCACACGAGGAUACACUUGUGCCAAGCUUAUACGCCUAUGCCACCUACACCCUGCUCCUAGGAAACUAGUACGGGGGACAGGGAAGUGAUGUUUGAGCAUCUCGAGGAAUCGUUCUAUGGCUAGGAUACAGACCACACGAGCCGGCGUCCACCAGAAAGUCGCUCCUCAGAAACGGGGCCCUAGUUGCAUAGAAAAAACAGACUGACUACACAUAGCAAUUCCCCCUCUCAAAAUCAGCAAAAAUCAUGUGAAAAGCCGCUGGGGCUAGUGCUCUACCUUCCCCUAGCAGAUCAACUACAGAUCCAUGGAUGUUAAUCCAUGGAAGGACAUAUCUAUCCAACCGACUCCUUCACGACCAAUCCGCCACCAUAGCGAAGCCUGCACGCUGCAUCCCUGUACUCCGGCCCCAGCCACCAUGGAUCCGACCGCCACGCCCUUCUACUACACAACAAGGCCGGAUGUGACUAGUUAGUCGUGGGCACGACCUUCCGCAAAAGCUACCUCAUACUCGCCGGAUAUCCACCGAAAACCCUAGAACCCCUCUCCGGCGAGCCCAUGACGGGGACCCCGACCACGACCGAUGGAAAAAUGGGGAAGCAGGAGAUGCGAGGCAAAAUUGGCGGGCGACCGUACCUACACCGGCGACGAGAAGCGGAUCCCCGCCGCCCUCCAGCCCUUCCCCUUCCNNNNNNNNNNNNNNNNNNNNNNNNNNNNNNNNNNNNNNNNNNNNNNNNNNNNNNNNNNNNNNNNNNNNNNNNNNNNNNNNNNNNNNNNNNNNNNNNNNNNNNNNNNNNNNNNNNNNNNNNNNNNNNNNNNNNNNNNNNNNNNNNNNNNNNNNNNNNNNNNNNNNNNNNNNNNNNNNNNNNNNNNNNNNNNNNNNNNNNNNNNNNNNNNNNNNNNNNNNNNNNNNNNNNNNNNNNNNNNNNNNNNNNNNNNNNNNNNNNNNNNNNNNNNNNNNNNNNNNNNNCCCCCUCCCCGUCUUCGGCUGCAUCGCAGCAACGGCCUGGCAACGACUGCCUCUCGCUGCCGGAUUUGGGGAACGAACAUGGCGAGAAGAGAGGGAAGUGGAUCAGGGAAGGAGAAAGAGGUGUGGCUCACCCUUCAUUCUGUCUACACAGACCGGCGCUUGCGGGCGGCCCCAGCCACAUGCGCGUUCGGUCGCCUCCCGACCAGGUACAAGCUGACGCCGAGGACCGCACGAUCUAGGCUGAUCGAGUGGCUCGCGUUCGGCCGCUCGUUUCGUCGAGAUAGUGCGUGUGCACUCUGAAGUAUUUGGGUAUUAAGAAAGCAUGUAAUGGUGGCAACUGACCAAGCCGAACAUGAGUUCAUAGGUAUGUCUGUACAAGUAAAUGUGGCAAUUUACUUGAGUACCCAUCUGUACAUCCAUAAUAGUGCGCGCUCAGUCUCUGUGAGCUAAUAGGAUUCAGAAAGCCACAUAUGUAAUGGUGGCAAUGGACUAAGCUCCUUGCUGUCUCGCGCACGACUGAGGGGGAAAGCCCAAGCUGCCGAGUGCUAGCAGUGGCGGGGCCUUCUCUCUUCUCCGUGCAUGGGGGCUCGACGCGGGGCAGCGGUUCCGGCGGUGACACGGCGCUGGGCUAGGCCGUGACAGCGCACAGGUGAGCUCUUAGGAGGUUCUCAAGGCUCUGUCUGCGUGGAGGGCUGGCUCGGCGAAGGAUGGUGUGGGUGCAUGGCCAGGCUGGUGGCGUCAGCCUCGGCUAGAUCUGCCGCGCGGGCGGUGUUACAAUUAAACAAAUGUUUAAUUGCAAGGAAAUCUCCCCUUGCCACCAUUACAUAUAAACAUAUGUCCUGAAAUCGGAGAUAAGAAUUGAAUCGAUUUCGAGUUAUACCCGUCUGUUGGCGACCGGCAUGACCCUUCCUUUGGUCUCGCUAACUGACACUACUCGUGUCCCUUCGGAAUCCAUAUAUUGUGUAACUGUAUCAUCAAUAAAGAAAUGAGUUGAAUCAUUUUGUUUGUCUCUCGAUUUCUUCUAACACGUUAUGAGCACAGUCGUAACCGAGAGCACUAGGCUUCAAAACUUGCCGCACCACCGCACCUCGUGCCCUCGUCGCCGGCCAUGGCCAUGCCCGCCCGCGCCGUGGCUGUUCCUGGCCGCAUCGGCGCUGCUACCCGGCCUUCGCGCCCCGCGUGCCGCCCGAGCCAGGCCGUGGCCGGCUCCGCCCGGCCACGCCGCGCAUCGCGACAUCGCCUUUUGGCCGCGCCGUUCGCCCCGCGCCUCGGUCACGCCCGUGUCUAGACAUUAGGACAAAUUACGAUUGAGAUCAGUUUUCUCUCGCAAAUUAUUAAUUCACCCACGCCUCGGCCGCGCCCGCGAGGAUUGAACUUUACACUACUAGGAAAAGGGCUAUAGAUGAUAUGGUUACUAAUGACGCACCGUGCAGUGGCGCACGAGAUACAGGUGCGCCAUUAGUAAUAUAUUACUAAUGGCGUUUUGAAAAAAAGAAAAAAAUUUGUUAGUAAUGGCGCACCAUGGGAUGGUGCUCCAUUACUAGUUGACAUAGUAAUGGCGCACCAUACCCACCGUGCGUCAUUAGUAGUUUGGAAAAAAUAAAAUAAAAUAAAAUAAAAUUUGUUAGUAAUGGCGCACCUGAUGUGUGGUGUGCCAUUAGUAAUAUAUUUAGCACCAGGGUUACUAAUGGCGCACCUGAUGUGUGGUGCGCCAUUAGUAACCCUGGUGCUAAAUACACCCCCUCCGGACCGUCUUUUCACUUUUAAAAAAAUAAAAGAAAAUGAUGGAAAUGUUAAAAAAAAUAAAAAAAAAAUAAGUUUCCAAUGUGAUAUGUGGUCUAGUUGUUGGGAAAAUUUACAAAUAUGAAUUUCGACUUUAUUUGCAAAAUCUCUCUGGAAUUUAGUAAAAUGGGCAUAACUUUUGCAUACAAACUCGGAUUAAAAAGGUUUUUAUCAACAUCUUCAAAAUCCCCAAAAACCUAACAGAACGAAAGAUACGAGGCUUNNNNNNNNNNNNNNNNNNNNNNNNNNNNNNNNNNNNNNNNNNNNNNNNNNNNNNNNNNNNNNNNNNNNNNNNNNNNNNNNNNNNNNNNNNNNNNNNNNNNNNNNNNNNNNNNNNNNNNNNNNNNNNNNNNNNNNNNNNNNNNNNNNNNNNNNNNNNNNNNNNNNNNNNNNNNNNNNNNNNNNNNNNNNNNNNNNNNNNNNNNNNNNNNNNNNNNNNNNNNNNNNNNNNNNNNNNNNNNNNNNNNNNNNNNNNNNNNNNNNNNNNNNNNNNNNNNNNNNNNNNNNNNNNNNNNNNNNAAAAAAAAAUCAAACUUACUAGUGGCGCACCAUUUGCUAGGUGCGCCACUAGUAACAGAAAAAAAUUGGUUUAAAAAAUUGGAUUUUUUUUCAAAAUAUGAUACGUAAUUUGACCAGGAAGUUUGAAAUAUUUUUUCAAAUUUCAUCAUACUCAUGAACAUGAACAAAGUCCUAGACAUCAACAAGGUUUAAUAGGAUUGAUAUGAUUGAUAUAUCAACAACUGCCUAUGAAGUGAGCUGGUGCUGGGGUUGGAUAGAACUGCGAAGUUAAGCGUGCUCGGGCUGGAGUAGUGUGAGGAUGGGUGAUCUUCCGAGAAGUUUGACCACAGAGUACGAUUUGACUUGAGAUUAAGCAUAUUGACCCGAAAUUAAGCCAUAGUGACCUGAGAUUAAGAAAAUUAAAAAAAAAAUAAAAAAAAUUGUUACUAGUAUACCAAUACUAAUGGCGCACCUGUGGUGCACCAUUAGUAAAAAAUACUAAUGACGUGGUACUAGUGGCGCACCUGUAGUGCGCCAUUAGUAGCGAAAACAUGUGCGCCACUAGUAGGCCUUUUUUCUAGUAGUGUUAGCAAUUUGUCCUAAUGUCUAGACUCAAAAUGGUUUGGUAGAAUCCCAUCCAAAGAAUUGAGUUCAUUGCAUGAUUUUUUCUUUGAAAUUGCAAAUUACCAACUUUACGUUGGAGUCAUGUAGUUUUACACACUCAUGACCAAACUGCAUAAUAUUAUUCCCCUAUGUCUUUGAUACGUGGAAAUCUACCAACUAUUUCCUAUCUGCGAUAAUUCGGUUACACACCGAUAUCACCACCCCGACAUACAUCAUUGGUCCCUCAACAUAUAGUUGGGAUCUAUGUGAGGAAUAACUGUAUUACCGUCAAUACCUCAAACCCCUCACAUGCGGGGUUAUUCAAGGCCAGUAUGUUGAUUCAAUGAGGAAUAUUUCCAGACAUUAGGGGGAGAAUUCAAGUACCAUAAAGAAUGCCAGGAAAUUAUUGGAAUGUUCAACACAUUUCUACCUCAUAUCCACGUACUCAAAGAGCUGAACCAUGCGUUCAGAAGAUUUGCAACACAUUGCAAAUAACCUUCCAGAUUCAUUUACUAACUAUAAAGGUGUCACACAAUCCUACAAUCCUGCAAUAGUAUGCCUGAAAGAGUGGAGGUACCAACAAAAUCCACUCCACUCCCCGUUCAAAGCAACGGGGGGGGAGAUGUAUGGUAGAAGUACAUCAGGAUUCAGCUUCUCGCAAGUAAGGAUAUCAAUGCAUGUGAAUCAGUAAAUGCAAGCCAGCUUCACGUUGGCAGACACCUAAUGGGUAGUAUACACCCAGUGGAUGGGAAACCUCCACCAGCCCAGGUCAUAGUGCACACAAUGACCGGGACAUCGGAAUACCCGACUUAGUCGCAUUGGGAAAUCGCGAGCAGUCGUCUUGGGUAACGAUAUUUUCAUCAACUAUAUAUUGAUAUAUAGAUUCUGGAGAAUCAAAUAACCGGAAGUCUACAAUUGUCGACAUACAUUUCUCAACUAGAUUGUAAAAACCUUUCUAAUGAUUCAGAUCCAAAGACCAUGUCCAUGGCAAAGUGUGAACAACACUCGGACUGAACUCAAGCAAAGGGUAUAAUCUAGAUAGAAAUGAUAUUGCUCAAUAAUGGGAAGGUAUUCAUAAGCAAUACCUACACCAGUUUUCUUCUGGAAACAGAAUUGAGAACAACGAGGUGGUGAAACAAAGAGCAAGUAUUGUAGCACAAGGAUUCACGCAGAUACCCAACUAUUCUCUAGAGGUGGAAUCACUUUCCGAUAACUUAUAUCAUUGGCAGUACGAAAUCAUCUAUAUCUUCAGUUGAUAGAUGUAGUGAUUACAUAUCCAUGUGGAUCACUAGAUUCAGACAUAUAUGCUUGAUUCCCGAUGGAACCCCAAUUCUAAUCGAAGUACAAAAUGCAACAUACAUUGUGUAAAAUCAAUAAGGCACCAUACGACUUAUUAUUAUCGUCGGUCCAUUUGGUACAACCGACGUAGUGAGUUCCUUAUACACAAGGAUUACUCCUACAAUUAUGAUUAUUCAUGUUUGUGUGUCUACAAUGAUGACACAUGUAAUCAUCUAAAUGACGGAGUUUAAAAUGAAGGAUUUGGGUAAACCAAAAUACCGCUCGUCACUACAACUUGAGCACCUUCAUUCAUACAUUAUGGUAUACUACGUUGUCUAUAUCCAUAAUAUAUUGGAGAAACUCAUUGUGGACAAAUCUUAUCCAUCCAUAACUCUCAUGGUAGUUCAUUCUCUAGACAUAGAGAAGAUCUAUUUAGACCAAGAGAUGAUGGAAAUGAGAUAUUGGGACUCAACGUUCCGUAAUGCCACUAGAUCCACCAAACACAAUUGAUUGGUACUCAAGAAUAUCUUUCGAUAUCUCCAAGGCAUCAAACAUCUUGUCCUAGUUUUUCAGUUUCACAGAAAUGUGAACACCGAUAUCAUUGGAUACAUGGACCAGAUCCCCACUAUCUUAGAUCGUAGACAAGCUUAGUGUUCCUACUAGGUGUGGUAGCCCUCUCAUGAAGAGUCUUUGAAAUAGACCUUAGUGGCUACAUCCACCAAUCAUUAUCUCUAAGAUAAUGUUGCUUGUGUUGGCCGGAUGCAAACAGGUUACUAAUAAGCAAUAUUGCUAUAUUGCAUAUCUUGCAAGUCAAAUCAUUCAACUGAUUUGUUUCUCGAGUCUCUACCAACUUCCACAUUCCAGAAGUAUGUUCAUGGGAUUGGUAUGUGACGGCUUCAGAAUUUGCAAGAAUCAGGGGGAGUACCUUCCUGAAUUGUUCAUGUUCAAAGCAUCAUAUUAUACUCUUUUUCCCUUCAUGAGUUUACUUUAUAGGUUCUCAUAAAGGUUUUUAAUGAGGUAAUAUCAACAUGAGAUAAUGUCAUACUUUCUGUUUUCCCCACCAGGGUUUUUAGGAAAGUAUAUACGACAUAUUUUUUGUCCCGUUAACUCUAUGGGUUUCUCAUAUUGAGUUGAAAGAGGCAAUAACUAUUAUAUGUUGCAUUAUUUUCUCCUUAUUUUUCCCAUUGGGUUUGAAGGAGUUUUGGCAACAUAUCAAACACUAUGUUCCUCACAUUUUUUCCCACUAGAUUUUUGGAGGAACUUAUAUAUAGAUGAUGAUACCAUUUGGACAAGCGGAGAUUAGGGGAAGUGUUACAAUUAAACAAAUGUUUAAUUGGAAGGAAAUCUCCCCUUGCUAACUGCCGUCUGUUGGCAACUGGCGUGACCCUUCCUUUGGUCUCGCUAACCGACGCUAGCCGCGUCCCUUCGGGACCUAUAUAUUGUGUAACUGUAUCAUCAAUAAAGAAUUGAGCUGAAUCAUUUUGUUUGUCUCUCGAUUUCUUCUAACAGGCGGCACGAUCGGCGGCAAUUUUGUUCGAGGCAGUCCACGUGGCAGUGCCAGGUGGCGGGGCAUCUUGGUGUCACAACGGCAGUGUGGGCCAGUGUGUUGGCCCCUCUGGAGUUCUUAUUUGGCGGCAGGGUAUGAUCAAUCUGUGAUCCUCGCUGGCGGACGAGUGGCUACCACUUCCUGACGUGGAUCUGACCAGAGGCCGAAGUUGGGCAUGAGGCGUGACGGCUGUGGAGGCUGCAGGAGGGAUGGGUUGUUCGACUACCUAUCACCGGCGCAGGGGGCGCUGGUCGGGACGUGCUCUGCUCCUUCAUGCCCAUUUCCUAGGCGUGGUGCCUGCAGAUUCAUCGAUGUUCCGGGCAGGAUGGUCACCGGUGGCUCCGGUGGUGCUAGGGAUCUGAUGAUCGUCUCAAAGCCCGUAGCUCCUAGAUGCUGGGCGGCGACCUUGGUGGCGGGAGAGAUGGGCUCGUGGACGGAGCUAGUCGCUCGGGUGCUGACGAGCUUGCUGCCAUGGCCACAUGGGCGGCAUGGUUGCGGGUCCUUGAUGUUCUACGGUGGUGGUGCGCCAGACGCUCUCGUGUCGGUCGUAUACCGGGCGGAGGCGGAGGGUGGUGGCCAAGGUGAAAACCUCGUUUGGCUCUGGCGAGACCGACGACAGCGUCAUCCAUGCGCCGUUCCCUUAUUGAAGGCACCGUCGCGGUGGCCCUGCGUCCUUAGUGUUACUUCGAAUGAAAACCUCAAUUCAGUAGAUCGGACAGUGGUGGCACUCCGAUGUCGUUUCUUUCUUAGAGGCACUGCUUUGGAGUUUCUGGUCCGUCGAGUUUAGGCUUCGUCUCCUUGCAGUAACAUGUUCACGGUUGAGAGCUCCUUAGAUUCCUAGCUAUACUCUAUCUGUCCACUUGGUGUUUGCUUUGGGGUGUUUGGGGUAGUGUUGCUGUUCGUCAACUCCCUUAUAUCUGCCUUGGGUGUGUGUGUGGUGACGGGUUGUAUGCAUUUUGUAUGUUGGUUGUGGCUUUAUAUAUAAAGUGGGACAAAGCCUUUUUGGGUAAGUUCCUUGCCUAUCAGGACAAAAUAUGCUUCAAUCACUGUGAAGAGUCCAUUGCAUUUAGCUGUAAUGGCUUUCCCGCACCAAGCCAUACAGGUGAUUCCAAUUUCCAAAUAUGGGUCAUGUAGAGACGAACUGUGCUACUGCGGGGGACUAGUGUGGGUCUCGCCGCACACAUGAAGGUUGUGGCCCAACAGGUGGUGGAGGCGGUGUGACGCAGAGACGUGAUCAUGCUCGUCGCUGCUGAAGCAGACGAUGCUGCUGCAGGGGCGCGGGCGUUGUGGUGCAGAAGUGAGGUAGAGCUAAUCCGAGAGAAAAUCUACGCGGCCGUCUUCUUCUUCGCUAGUGCCAUGUAUGCAGCCAACUCCAGGUGUAAACUAGUUAGAUCGGUCAGAACUUCCGCAUCGCCUUCAUCAACGGAGUCUCGUCCUCUGGGGUGGUGGGAGGAGAAUUCGGCUGUGAAUUUGGAGGUUCCUGGUAGUAUUUGUGGAAGAUCUAUGGUCUGGAUACCAAAUGUUAGAAUUCAACCACUAAUUUACUCUAUUCAACACUAGUUCAGAGUACAACUCGAAAUACAGAGGAAGAUGGAGAUCACAUGAAGAAGAAGAAAGAUAACGCGCGCAUUCAAACCGAGCCUCUGUCGUAGCCGCCGUUCUGUUUCAAGCCAAAUAUAUCAGUCGAAGUUGUUGGCACAGGUUCUCCAUCUUCCAACUUCCAAUGGUUGUCGUCAAUGACAAGACAAAUCUCUACAAUCCAUCCCAUGACAAAGUUCACGUCACCGGCAUUCACAAACCCAAGUCAAACACCUACAGGCCUGUUUCGCUAUAAAAACCAUGACAAGAUCAAGGGUAGGAACCGGUAGCUCAGUCCCCUCUCAAGAAUAACCAUUUUUUCCCAAUUAUGCUGACAUUGACUUUCCCGGUGCCGCUCAUUCCCAGACAAGCGCCUGUGUGUUUUUGGCUGGGAAUGGGUAUGUCACCUAUUGUGACUGUUUGGUGAUGGUUUCAACAUAAUUUUUUAGGAAACGGGCAGUGACUAAAAGCCAAGUGGACUAGUGCCCAUCAAUUUGAUAGUUUGAAAGUGUGUAUCGGGCCAAGACUUACUAGCAUCACUGUGUACUGGUGUAUAUAACGAGACUCAAAGAGAUGCAACAAGUGAGAAGCACGUGCUCACGAGGUGAAUGUGUGUAGGAACAAGAAACAAAUUGGCCUUUGGUGGGCCAGUCGGCUUCUCCGAGAGCAAUUCAGUGUCUUGUACGAAGUCAUUCACGGUCGUGUACUCUGAAGGAGUAAAUGUUGUGUGCGUCAAUUGCACCAUCGAUUUUUAUUUGCUAUGUGUAGCGUACCCUCAUAUAUACGAAGCUCCCUUCUAUUUGUUCAAGAGUAUCUGACACCCUCCAUUUUACUGCAUCCCUCUGUUGCCUUGUUGCUCCACUCCUCUUCCACACGCCACAAAAACAGCAAGAACAAUACUUCUAUUAUUAUAACAACAACAACGCUCUGUUUUCAUGUCUAGUCCAGACGUAGGUAGUGACUUUGAAGUACUUAAUAAAUGAGAUUAUUCAUGUGUGAGGGGCAAGCUAGGAACGUGCGUCUCAGGAAAAUGUAUUGAAACAUGUUGUUUUUCUAGGGCUCUUCUCUAGUCCUUGCAGCACCUGCUUGUGAAAAUCUGCCAAGAAAUGUACCCAUUAGCAUCACUCGUGUGGUUGGAUCACCAGGGCGCAUCUUAGUUCUCAGGGGCUCGGAUGGAGAUCCAACGCUUCCCUGGCAACACCGGCUUGCUAGGGAGAUCUGAUCUUCAUCCGAGACCCCAGCAUGCUGUUAGGAGUUUUGAUAGCGUUGUUGUUACCCGAAGAUCAACAAGCUUCAUUUAUUUUAUAAGCAAAUAUGAGUUUCGUACUGCAUUUCUGUUUUUCAAACAAGACAAGAGAAGAAUUACUAGGAACUGGUCUCUUCUAAAUUUUUCGCGUAAACUAAAAGCACAGUACGGAAUGAAAAAAGAGAUAGUUGGAAAAUCAGAUAGAAGACGGAACAUCAGACCAUCAAACUUGCCAGCCUUUUAUUUAUGAAUUAUAUAAAUUGGAUAUGUCAUAUUAAAGUUAUUACUUGAGCUUUAUUUUACAAUGAUUUUCUUGAGCUUAGUUUUUUUUUUGAAUCUAGAGCCCGCGAUUGAAACAUAUUAAUAUAGAUGUUUCUUCCUGUUUUCUUUUACUUAUUGCGUGGAACACAUAAGCUUUGCUUCCUGAAUAUAAAUAAAUGCUACAAUAUGUCUGGAAAAUGAUUUUAGUCUACGGUUGCGUGGUUAAUAGAGUGAAAGCAAACACCUAUGAAUAUAAUAAUAACAGUACCACUCAUUCAACCCGGCAUAUAAACAACUUGUACACUGGAGCUCUAAAAUACAUGUACGCAUACGAUAGGAUGCAUGUCUGCUGUUGCAAGGGGAUUAAAGGUUAUAACUACGACAGUUACAAAUUAAG